rnacentral:lncRNA from 1 species
AAACAAAAGAACAAUGUUUAGUAACAGUAUGUGGGAACAGUGAUAUCUUAAAGUGUCUGCCAGGUACAUAGCUCUCCUCUCAAAAAAGCAGCUGCAGGAGGAUUUGUUUCCUCAAAAUGUGCUAUGCUUUGUGACAUAAUCUGGAUACCGUGGCCACCAUUGUUUGGAUUAGGGACCUGGGUCUGUCCUGGAGUAGCCAUACAAAAAUGAAACAUGAGGAUAUUUGGUGAGAGAAAUUUGUCAGCAGAAUUCUCUAUGCUGGAUAGUGACUGAUAAGCUAAAUCUUCUCUCUAUUCUUUGGCAUUUGCGAUGUGAGACCCAAGAAAAUGUGGCAGUUUAGAGCAGCCAAGUUGAAGCAAUCCUAAUUUCAGCCAGAAAUAGGAGCCCAUGUAUAGAAACCAUGGGCCGUGGGGAUGGUGGAACUAAUUGUUUCUGUAGGGAACACGGUUUGAGGGUCCUUGGCCUCUGCUGUCUUCAAUGAGUUUCCUGUUCUGCAUGAUACCAGGUUGACUCUGUUUUGCAGGCUGAUAGAUGUCAAGACUUUGGUUGGGUUAUUUUCUCCCCAAGCUAAUAAAGUACAA